rnacentral:tRNA from 1 species
GAGGCUGUGGCUCAGUGGUAGAGUGCUCACUUAGUACGUGUGAGGCAUUGGGUUCAAUCCUCAGCCCCA